rnacentral:RNase_P_RNA from 1 species
UUUUUUAGACAAACGCUGCAUAAUAUUUUAUGUAGAGGAAAGUCCAUGCUCACACUUUCUGGAAUGAAAGUAGUGUUCGUGCUAAGGGAAAAAAUAACCUUAGGUAAUAUAGAAAUAUAUUAACGGCAUCGAAUUAAUCAAGAACUGAUUAUAUUAGAUAUAAAAGUGCCAUAGAGACGAGACUAUUAGGAAUAAUAGUUGUGGAACGAGGUAAACCCCACGAGUGAGAAACCCAAAAUUGGUAGGGGAAUCUUUACGAAUGAAUAAUAAAGGAGUAAAGAAAGCGAAAGCUUAGAUAAAUGUUUGUCACCUUUUAGGAACAGAACAUGGCUUAUUAAA